GAUGGCAAAGGCUCUGUCCCCCAAAAUGCAGUUCUUGGUCUUAGUGGAUAUUGGCAUUGGUGAUCUGAGACAGCGAGAUGGGGAGUGGCGUUUGAGGAGGUCGGUCAGACAGGUGAAGAGAGACAGGAAAUGUGGGGAUCAGACAGCGGGGGGAAGGCAUGCAGCAAAUGGUUGGGGCCAGGAGUCGAAACAUCGACUGCUGCAAGAAGGACUAUAGCCUCUAUACAUGGACAGCACUCUUAAACCGUUAGUACCAACGGAGCAGAAGUUGCUCAGUAUUCCCUCUGCUGAGAGGGAGAUGACGCCGUGUUGAGACUCAGACGGAUCAAUGAGACUCCCAUAAGAGGAGUGGGCACUCGCUUCUCUCAGCUGCAAGACCGAUCGCCUUAUUAGCACCUGCCUCUGAAAUACCAAGGGUGUUCUAAUGCCCCCUCUUCAUCAAACCACACAAUAAAAUGAAGAUCCCUGUUGUCUCCAAUUAA